rnacentral:rRNA from 1 species
UACGUAGGGUGCAAGCGUUGUCCGGAAUUAUUGGGCGUAAAGAGCUCGUAGGCGGUCUGUCGCGUCUGCUGUGAAAACUCGGGGCUUAACCCCGGGCCUGCAGUGGGUACGGGCAGACUAGAGUGCGGUAGGGGAGACUGGAAUUCCUGGUGUAGCGGUGAAAUGCGCAGAUAUCAAGAGGAACACCUGCGGCGAAGGCGGGUUGCUGGGCCGACACUGACGCUGAGGAGCGAAAGCGUGGGGAGCGAACAGG